rnacentral:rRNA from 1 species
GCUUUUUAGUUAAUGGCUGCAUAAACCUGAGUGUACUAAGGUAGCACUAUAAUUUGCCCUUUAAUUGGGGGCUGGUAUGAAUGGGUUAACGUGGGAAUUGCUGUGUCACAAGGACAUAAUUUAAAUUAACUUUCAGGUGAAGAGGCCUGGAUAUCUUAAAAGGACGAUAAGACCCUAAAAGCUUUAUUGAGGGUUUGUUAUAAUUAGCAAUCUUAAAUUUUGUUGGGGCAACACAGUUAGUAUGUAUAACUAAUAAAGAAAUACUUACUUGUAACAACCACAUAAGUGGACGAGACUUAGUUACUUUAGGGAUAACAGCGUUAUUUUUUUUGAUAGUACGUAUUGUAAAAAAAGUUUGCGACCUCGAUGUUGGAUUAAGGUGUCCUUAAAGUGCAGAAGCUUUAGAGGGUUGGCCUGUUCGUCCAUUAAAACCUUACA